rnacentral:rRNA from 1 species
UACGUAGGGGCCAAGCGUUGUCCGGAUUUAUUGGGCGUAAAGAGCUCGUAGGCGGUUCGGCAAGUCGAAUGUGAAAUCUCCACGCUCAACGUGGAGGGGUCAUUCGAUACUGCCGUGACUCGAGUCCGGUAGGGGAGUGUGGAAUUCCCGGUGUAGCGGUGAAAUGCGCAGAGAUCGGGAGGAACACCCGUAGCGAAGGCGGCACUCUGGGCCGGUACUGGACGCUGAGGAGCGAAAGCGUGGGGAGCAACAGG